UGGUCUUGCAGAUCGAGUCCUGCAAGCAGGAUGUAUGGUGCAGUGAAAAGAUUCUACAACAUUUGCAUAGUUCUGGGUACUCCCUGAAGCAUGAUUCCUAUUUUAUCUUACAUGAUACGUGACAGUUCCUGAGAGAAAUGGUGAGAAGGGCGGGGAUAGACGUCGGUGAUCCCAUAAAACGUGUUCAAUUUAUUAAUAAGAUUUUAGAAAAAGAUGAGACCCAGCAGCCUGUAGGCAUGGUCCCAGUACAGGACUUCAGAAGGAGCCACUUUUAGGGCUCUUACCAAAGUAAGAAGUCUGCAGAUUGGAGUGUACUGCAAAUAGGACCAGACGCUUUUCUGAUGUUUCUUCAAUUCCCAUCGAAGCAGCAAUUCACAGUGCAGCAGUUUAAAAUGGUACAAUACAAUAUUACUUAAGAUUGUUGUUGAUAUGAUAUUAAAAUGUUUGGCAACGUGGUUUAUAAUAUAGGAAUGAACUUAAUUACAACCCUUGGAAGUACAUAAACAAAUGCAGGUUCAGAAAUGUUGAGGGAAAUACAUUUUGUUUUCCUUUUUUUACUAGUAAGUUCUUCCCAUUCUCCCACGUUUUGCCUACAGUCAUGCUUUUCCAUUCACUGAUUAGAUUACCAUGCUGCCUGCUAAACAUAUUAUGCUCCUGAAAGUCACUCAGAAGCUCCAGCUGGUGCAGAUGCAGUGACCCGCUUCUUUAGUCAAACUGGUCAGAAGAAUCACACUGCAUCAGUACAUUAGUUACUGCUUCCCUUCAGAGUGCAAAUUAGCAUGCUUUUUUUUUUUUUUUUUCUUUUUCUUUUUUCCCCCCUCACUUUGAGAGCCUUACAUGACCUGAGACUUAACUACCUCAGGUACACAUUUUGUUCUUGUGCACCACUGUGAGUCUCUCAGAAUUGCUGAGACCGAGUGAUUUAGUAACUCUUUAGCUGCAGAUGAG
rnacentral:lncRNA from 1 species